AACGCUAGCUACAGGCUUAACACAUGCAAGUCGAGGGGAAACGACAUCGAAAGCUUGCUUUUGAUGGGCGUCGACCGGCGCACGGGUGAGUAACGCGUAUCCAACCUGCCCGCCACUUGGGGAUAACCUUGCGAAAGUAAGACUAAUACCCAAUGAUAUCCCACGAAGGCAUCCGAAUGGGAUUAAAGAUUUAUCGGUGAUGGAUGGGGAUGCGUCUGAUUAGCUUGUUGGCGGGGUAACGGCCCACCAAGGCAACGAUCAGUAGGGGUUCUGAGAGGAAGAUCCCCCACAUUGGAACUGAGACACGGUCCAAACUCCUACGGGAGGCAGCAGUGAGGAAUAUUGGUCAAUGGGCGAGAGCCUGAACCAGCCAAGUAGCGUGCAGGAUGACGGCCCUAUGGGUUGUAAACUGCUUUUAUAAGGGAAUAAAGUGGGUCUCGUGAGACUUUUUGCAUGUACCUUAUGAAUAAGGACCGGCUAAUUCCGUGCCAGCAGCCGCGGUAAUACGGAAGGUCCGGGCGUUAUCCGGAUUUAUUGGGUUUAAAGGGAGCGUAGGCCGGAGAUUAAGCGUGUUGUGAAAUGUAGUGGCUCAACCUCUGCACUGCAGCGCGAACUGGUCUUCUUGAGUACGCACAACGUGGGCGGAAUUCGUGGUGUAGCGGUGAAAUGCUUAGAUAUCACGAAGAACUCCGAUUG
rnacentral:rRNA from 1 species